rnacentral:rRNA from 1 species
UUACACCCAUAAGCGCCAGGGAACUACGAGCCAUGCUUAAAACCCAAAGGAUUUGACGGUGUUCCACCCAACUAGAGGAGCCUGUUCUAUAAUCGAUGAUCCCCGAUACACCCGACCACUCCUAGCUUAUCAGUCUGUAUACCUCCGUCGAAAGCUUACCAUGUGAACGUCUACAGUAGGCCCAAGGACCCGCAUAGCGCGUCAAUACGUCAGGUCAAGGUGCAACUUAAGGAGUGGGAAGUAAUUGGCUACAAUUUCUAACCUAGAACAAACGAAAGACUGCAUGAAAUCACAGUCACGAAGGCGGAUUUAGCAGUAAAAAGAAAAUAGAGAGUUCUUUUUAACCCGGCCCUGGAACGCGUACACACCGCCCGUC